UAACUUGGUAAGAUUCACGAUAUGCAUACACCCAAGAAGACCUUCAACGACAUUAGUCUGCACAUUAUGAAGCCUCUUUCUGCCUUAUCUCUAGUUUCUGGACUCUCUUGGUUUUAAGACUUGUUGUCAGACGAUCCGUCUUUCAACAGAUUAGAGUCUGUACUACACUCGGCUCUAGACUCGAACGAAUCGUUCUGGUUUCGGGUCCCCGUCAGUCGACAAUAGUCGGAAUACUUCCUAUGCAGUCGAGAGAGGUCUGUCGUUUAGGGCCCGUUGCACCAACUUCGUUUAACCUUGGUUCAGUACUGAACGGACUUCAACACAAAUAUCGGCGUUUUUCAAUCUCUAUUGAUCCGAGAUCAAGUGAUGAACGUCGAUCAAUUCUGAACGGUCGUCGAGCUCGGGUUAAACAGGGUUCAGAGCUGAACAACGUUCAUUUGAUAAUAUAACCUGCGCGUUGUUUAACCGUAUAUUGAGAUACAUCGAAAUGGACGCAUUUUUAUCUAGUUAUAGAGGAAUUAACAGAUGAUGAAGAUUUCCUUGAGUUAUUAGCUCUACAUAUAAACAAAGAAAGGGUUUUUAGAACCAGACAGGAACAUUUUCACGAAUGUGAUAACGAUGAAUUCUUCAAUAGAUUCAGAAUGACAAAGAAUGCAGUGAACUUCGUGUUAGAGAAAAUAAGAAAUUCAAUCACUCAUCGUACUACCAGAAAUCAGGCUACCUCCCCCGAACUGAUGUUACUAACUACACUUCGAUUUUAUGCAACAGGAUCGUUUUUGACAUUUUGUGGUGAUUUCAGUGGGUUGCAUAAAUCUAUGUAGAAUGGUGCGCAGAGUUUCUCGAGUUCUUGCAUCAUUGAGGCGAGAAUUCAUUCAUUUCCCAAAAAACGAAGCUGGAAGAAUGGCUGUCUGUGCUGAAAUGUACAAAAUCAGCAAAUUUCCAAAGUGCAUAGGUGCUAUUGAUUGCACUCAUGUUCGUUUACAAUCUCCAGGUGGUAAUCAAGCAGAGCUGUUUCGCAACAGGAAAGGAUUCUUUUCAUUGAAUGUACAGACAGUUUGCGAUGCAGAGCUGAAGUUCGAAAACAUUGUUGCCAUGUGACCAGGUAGCACUCACGAUGCCCACAUUUUUAGAAAUUCAGUCUUAAAAACACAAUUUGAAAAUGGAGAUAUGAAAGAUCUUGUUUUGGUUGGUGACAGUGGGUAUCCUCUAAAAAAAUACUUGCUAACAAAAUUAAAUCACCCAACCAAAAGAGGGGAAAUACUCUACAAUGAGACCUUAAUUAGGACAAGAAACGUUGCCGAGAGAUCGUAUGGUGUUUGGAAAUGUCGCUUUCCUAUACUUGCCAUUGGAAUGAGGUGCAACUUUAAUUUGGUUGAGCCAAUUGUGGUAGCAACUGCAGUAUUGCAUAAUAUAUCAUGCAUUUUCAAAGAUCCGAUUCCAUUCAUCAAUGAUUAAGUGGAAACACAAAUUAUUAACCUUCAGUUCAAUCAAAUUGGAGAAGUGGAAUAUGAUGGGAACGCAAGAAUUCCAUUUAUCGAAUAUUUUGAUACCUUAUAGAAACACCAUCGAACGUAUAGAAGUUAUGUAAAGAAGUAAUACAAAAA
rnacentral:lncRNA from 1 species